rnacentral:rRNA from 1 species
GCGAACGCUGGCGGCAGGCCUAACACAUGCAAGUCGAACGGAUCCUUCGGGAUUAGUGGCGGACGGGUGAGUAACACGUGGGAACGUGCCUUUUGGUUCGGAACAACUCAGGGAAACUUGAGCUAAUACCGGAUAAGCCUUUCGAGGGAAAGGUUUAUCGCCAUUAGAGCGGCCCGCGUAGGAUUAGCUAGUUGGUGGGGUAAAGGCCCACCAAGGCUACGAUCCUUAGCUGGUCUGAGAGGAUGAUCAGCCACAUUGGGACUGAGACACGGCCCAAACUCCUACGGGAGGCAGCAGUGGGGAAUCUUGCGCAAUGGGCGAAAGCCUGACGCAGCCAUGCCGCGUGAAUGAUGAAGAUCUUAGGAUUGUAAAAUUCUUUCACCGAGGACGAUAAUGACGGUACUCGGAGAAGAAGCCCCGGCUAACUUCGUGCCAGCAGCCGCGGUAAU